UCCUUCUUGCAUGUAGUUUUUUCCUUUCCAAUUGCCUUGAAAUAUAAUAUUCAUGGACACUUAGAGAUAAAACUAUCUAUGGAAAUUCAAUCACGCUUUUAAUUAUCUCUUACGUCAGUUUCCGCUGAUGCCGUUAUCUAUCGCGUAUAUUUCUAUAACAAGAUCUUAUAAACGAUGUACAAUGUACAUAAAUGCCUGCCACUACCGCUCAAAGGCAUUGGGUUACUUCGGACGAUUUAAUUCAUCAUUUAUUUAUUAUUUAAUGCGUCAAAAUAUCCAUAGCGUAGCUUUACAACAUGCACUUUUGUAAUUAAAAUACAUCCUGUGAAUAAUAAAGAUCAAGUAUUUGAAUACUUUUGAGCGAUAGUGUACACACGUACACCGUCAGCACGAGUUUACGCUACGUUUGAUCGUAAUUAAAGAUGAGAUUCAACGACAGAGAGGAGCAAGAUAAAAAGAGGUGAAAGAAUGCCGUAACCUCGGUGUUAAUGAUACAAAAUACAAUGCGGGCAUGGCAACGAAGAAUUUCAUAGUUGAGCGAACGUUUCGCGGUAACAGGAACGCAUUAACCAUUAACAUACUUUACUAACAAACUUUUGAACUAUUUCACCGUGAAAUAACAUCUGUUCAGCCGUGUUACUAUCCUCGAAGCGGCCGUUUUUUCAUCUGAACAUCUGGAGGAUAGCGUUGAGUGACCUCUCACGACUAUAGAUAAAGUAAUUUCUUUAAUUAACGUGGGUCGCCUUGGACUUUUUCCUCGAUAUUGAGCCCAAGGCGCCUUUUUACCAUUCCCUUCGAUGUCCAGCGCCGUAUAAAACUUCGAUACGAAACAAGGUGACCAACACGCGAAGAGAAAAGACUUCAAUACGAGUAACGGUGUAGAGAAACGCUCUGGUGCCCGCCUAAGUUAUUCGUUAUAUGUAUGCGUACCAUACUGGUUGUUCAUCGUACGGUCAGCCAGGCGUAUAAUCGUAGUACAGGUCAUGGUUAUUUCUUCGAGGUUCACUGAUUUUUCAUCAAUAAUCUUGAAUGGACGACGAUAUGAAACGAGCGGAUUUACGAAAAAUUCGCAGCGAAAUUGGAAAAACGUGAUUCAAAUGCAGCCGCGUAAUUAACGAUUUCAAGUCGGGCUAAUAAAUUACCUUGGAUCAUCUGUGUCAACUGCAUGCAUAUUAAAUAGCACGAUAUUAAAACUACAUAGAAUUAUACAUAAUUCAUAGAUUUUUCGCGUAGUUACCUUAAUUAGCAAUUAAGAUGUCACAAGGAUGUAAACAGUGCGGAGAUAAUCAAUUUCGAUGUUUUCACAGACAUUGUUUUUUAUCCGUUGGCUGGAAAAAACAAGAUACUGAACUUGUUGCGUAAGUGUUUUAACAUAGAAAAUUACUUAGUCCCUUUUAUCUAAACUGUUUUAUGAUGCUCGAAAAAAAUAAAAGCAUGUGGAUACCAGACUUAUCAUUAUAAUAUGAAAUAUAUUAUUUCUGUGUUCUGUAAGAUCUAGAGGCACAUUUAUAUUGAUGUAUGUGUCAAUAUUAUAUCUAUCAUAUUAUUGAUAGCUUUCUUAUGUACUUAUAUAAACAAAAGAACUGGUAGGAUCUAUGUAGUUAGUUAACAUACUAACAAUAUUAGUCAUUUAGCUUGUGAUUGUAAUGUGCAAUGGAAUCUAAUUUUACUGGUUGGUAAGUUAUUGUACAUCGAAUUAUUGGUGAAUCUUAUUCCAAUUAUACGAACGCUUACAAUUUUGCGUACGUUAGUAAGCAAAAGAAUGGGUAACAUACGUUCGAAUACAGUUAUUCGAACAUACUCUGCGGUUAUUUCAGUGACAAAUUAUAGAUAGUGAAGAAAAUCAGCGAUCUCCUGUUAUAAGAUGUCCAGUUAUCCAAAUCGUUUCCUCAGGUAUAAGUAGAAUUAAGUAAAAAUAACGACAAGUAGGAUCCUACUGUCUACUACCCAUGUACAUAAUUCUACUUAGCAUAAUUCUAUCACGAAAAUUUGAAACAUAUUGGAAUUCCAAAAGAAAUAAUGACUUCCUCAAGUAGGAGUAAAAGAUAGUGCAAACUUUUGAGCAGACAAAAACGAAAAGAUCCGAUCGUUUAACAAAAUUUUAAAUCCAUGGCCGAAAGAAGUUACUAAUUUAAAAAUCGAUACGGUUAAAGAGUUAAUAAUCAUUGAGCCAUUACUUGGCCGAUAUGGCGUGCGUCGAAACUGUUAUUGUAACAGCACUUUAAUCGGGCACGGGUGAAGCAAACGACGCUGAAACACAAAGUUUUCGAUGGAAUUGGAACGUCCGACGAUGAUUUCCGAAUCGUUAAACGGAAACUAUUCGCAUUAAAGAAGAAACCGACCGGUUGGGAGGGAAAAAUAAGAGGACCCCAGUUGCUGCGUGGUCGUGACAGUCGAGGUAUCCAAUUUGUGGAGUUAAUAGAAGUUUGAUCAAGCCUUGUUUCAAAUUGAAUGCCAAACUAUGGAUUGCUGCCGGUCGAUAGGACUUUUAUCGAAACGUUAAUGUUUUUUCGAUCGAUCGUCCGACACCGGUCGAGUCUCGUUUGAUGAACGAACGCGAUCCUGUUCUCUGUAUCACGAAAUUCAAUUGAAACUGCGAAUAAUAAUGCUACCGAUUGUAGCCGUAAUAAUAAUGGCAAACUCGAUGGCGGUAAUAGGAACGCUGUAUCGCUGCGUUUCUGUUUAUUUCGUAUAAAUCGCCGCUUAUCGAAAUUGGAACGUAACACUUCACUUUUUUAUCAUACUGUAAGGUAUGUUGUAGAUACCGUGUCGUUAAAUUAAAGGCAAAUUAACAGAGCAGUGGUGUAUAAUACACGCGUGGAAGAAUUUACGUAAAGUGCUACAUGCGCGUGUGCGCGGUACGCUCCGAUUCGAUUGAUGCGCGGAAAGUUAACGGGAAGAGACAAACAGCCGAAUCUGUUACGUGAAACGGGCCCUCGUGUGCGCCUGGUUCCCUCGAGAUUACUUCCUAGAUAACUAUAUACACGUACAUUUUUUCGUUUUAUUCUUUUUUACGAAAGAACCGCACCCGUCUCUUUUAUGGCGCCGUAAAUUCUUUAUUUCUCACUGGCGCUUUUGGCAGGAUGACAUGGAUUUGUCUCCGCAUAUGGGAUGCCAUACAAGUUAAUAACUUCCUGUAUAGCUUGUUGAUGAAGAAAUCUUGAAUUUACUAACGAUCGAACGUUGAGGCUUUGGAAUGGUAUAAAUUAACGAAAUCUGAUUUGGAAAGAUUUAUAUCUGAUUAUCGGAUACUUUAUUUAUUAUAUUCUCUUGUAUCGAUAUACAUAUUGUUGGUAUACUAGUCUUACUUAUAUUUUAUACUCCUGCGAUUAAUUUAUUGCACGUCAUAAAUUAUAGUUUUUUAUAUUAUAUAUAGUGUCUUUUACACUGUUUUAACCCUGAACUCUGAAUAUACAAAAUACGUGUUAAUAUAAAUAGACUGUCCUACUAAAAAUAUAUAUUCAAAGCGAUACGUGAUUAAAUUAAAGAGGUAUUUCUAAUGUAACUCAAUAAAUUCUAUUUUUUUGUAUUCAAAUCGUUUGCAUGGACGUAAUUUUCAGAUUUCGAUUCAUUUAUCUGUGACUUCUAAACCAGUAAUUUAAAAGAACAGUCGGAAUUGAAAAAGUUUGAUAGAAUACCGCUCGCACCGAACGCGUUAAAAAGAUCCGAGUUAACAUUUCGACGUGAAACGCCUUCUAAGGAUUAUACCCGCGGUCUUCUUAUGCAAAUAAAAUUUUAUAUCUCCGCUA